GGCUGGACCAGGAACAGCCGGGCUCGGCAGCAUCGCGGGGCCGGCUGGGAAGAGACAAUCCCCCGGAGAGGCAGUAUUCAGAGUGAUGGCUCAGAUGCUCAGCAGCUUUGGAACAGUGAGACACAGCUGGCUGGAAACACAGCUUCCACAAAGAAUUACCCAAACAGGGUCUUGCAAGGGAGAAAAGCAGUGAGGCCUGGCACCAACAAUAAGAGGAACAAAGAAUCACGUGCAGAGACCUGGCUCUGGACAGGCUGGAAAAUUCUGUAGGCAACCUCCUGAACACCCCUGGGAUGGAUGACAAAAUACAUGAUAACAGAAGAGCACUGAGGAGAAAAUGAGCAUUUCUUUGCAGCUGUUGGGACUCUGCUUCCACGUGUGCCCUUCAAAACUGUCUCUGGUUCGCAGAGGAGCAGUCAGAGCAAAAACUGGUCUGGAACAGGACAGAGACUUAAGGAACUACAGUCUCCAGCUUAACAUUGGGAACUUACAGGUGGUUGGGUCAGAGUCUGAUGAACAGAAAUCUGUCAGAUGCCUCUUUAACCCAGCAAGGGCAUCUGACACACCCCUGUUAUUAUCCAGCAGUUUAAAGAAAUGGAAACAGGGAAUGAAUCACAACUUAUAACACCCAAAGGACAUGGCAAGGCAUAUACUGUGUCAUCUCUCAUUUGAUCCCUUUAAAUCAAUAGGUGGGGUCUUUCUAAAAGUGGUUCACAUUCUGCCAUGGUCUUGUUGGAGGGAGAAGUGCAUGUGAAUAUGCAUAGAGCAGGUUAGAUGAUCACAAAAUACAUCCUGAAUCUGUGAAAUAUAAACUUUGGAUCUAAGGUGCUCCAGGUCAAAUAUGGCUUCU